rnacentral:rRNA from 2 species
AAAUUGAAGAGUUUGAUCAUGGCUCAGAUUGAACGCUGGCGGCAGGCCUAACACAUGCAAGUCGAACGGUAACAGGAAGCAGCUUGCUGCUUUGCUGACGAGUGGCGGACGGGUGAGUAAUGUCUGGGAAACUGCCUGAUGGAGGGGGAUAACUACUGGAAACGGUGGCUAAUACCGCAUAACGUCGCAAGACCAAAGAGGGGGACCUUCGGGCCUCUUGCCAUCAGAUGUGCCCAGAUGGGAUUAGCUUGUUGGUGAGGUAACGGCUCACCAAGGCGACGAUCCCUAGCUGGUCUGAGAGGAUGACCAGCCACACUGGAACUGAGACACGGUCCAGACUCCUACGGGAGGCAGCAGUGGGGAAUAUUGCACAAUGGGCGCAAGCCUGAUGCAGCCAUGCCGCGUGUAUGAAGAAGGCCUUCGGGUUGUAAAGUACUUUCAGCGGGGAGGAAGGUGUUGUGGUUAAUAACCGCAGCAAUUGACGUUACCCGCAGAAGAAGCACCGGCUAACUCCGUGCCAGCAGCCGCGGUAAUACGGAGGGUGCAAGCGUUAAUCGGAAUUACUGGGCGUAAAGCGCACGCAGGCGGUCUGUCAAGUCGGAUGUGAAAUCCCCGGGCUCAACCUGGGAACUGCAUUCGAAACUGGCAGGCUUGAGUCUUGUAGAGGGGGGUAGAAUUCCAGGUGUAGCGGUGAAAUGCGUAGAGAUCUGGAGGAAUACCGGUGGCGAAGGCGGCCCCCUGGACAAAGACUGACGCUCAGGUGCGAAAGCGUGGGGAGCAAACAGGAUUAGAUACCCUGGUAGUCCACGCCGUAAACGAUGUCUACUUGGAGGUUGUGCCCUUGAGGCGUGGCUUCCGGAGCUAACGCGUUAAGUAGACCGCCUGGGGAGUACGGCCGCAAGGUUAAAACUCAAAUGAAUUGACGGGGGCCCGCACAAGCGGUGGAGCAUGUGGUUUAAUUCGAUGCAACGCGAAGAACCUUACCUGGUCUUGACAUCCACAGAACUUUCCAGAGAUGGAUUGGUGCCUUCGGGAACUGUGAGACAGGUGCUGCAUGGCUGUCGUCAGCUCGUGUUGUGAAAUGUUGGGUUAAGUCCCGCAACGAGCGCAACCCUUAUCCUUUGUUGCCAGCGAUUCGGUCGGGAACUCAAAGGAGACUGCCAGUGAUAAACUGGAGGAAGGUGGGGAUGACGUCAAGUCAUCAUGGCCCUUACGACCAGGGCUACACACGUGCUACAAUGGCGCAUACAAAGAGAAGCGACCUCGCGAGAGCAAGCGGACCUCAUAAAGUGCGUCGUAGUCCGGAUUGGAGUCUGCAACUCGACUCCAUGAAGUCGGAAUCGCUAGUAAUCGUGGAUCAGAAUGCCACGGUGAAUACGUUCCCGGGCCUUGUACACACCGCCCGUCACACCAUGGGAGUGGGUUGCAAAAGAAGUAGGUAGCUUAACCUUCGGGAGGGCGCUUACCACUUUGUGAUUCAUGACUGGGGUGAAGUCGUAACAAGGUAACCGUAGGGGAACCUGCGGUUGGAUCACCUCCUUACCUUAAAGAA